AGUUAAAAGCAACUGCAGUUCAAAGGAGAAAGAUACAUUCGGCAACGAACUGCGGAGGAGACAAAUGUAUUCAUUGGUUGCCAAGGCAACAGGACUCUGCUGAUGACGCACUUAAUUUGAGGCCGCUCAAUCACUUCCGCGCUGAAACUGCUUAGGUAGGCUUUUUUCUGGUGCACCGGAAAGUAGGUCAGAAGAAGUUUCCUGUUAGACUUUUAAGACGCCUUUCGUUCUUUUUUAAUACCCAUCUUGCUUCUACGGUACUUGAUCCUUUAUUGACAAAUUAAAGUGUUUAUGCAUUCGAUUUUUUGUGAUUUUUACUUUUCAAAGCUUUUUCUUUUUCGAUGCAUAUUUUGCCAUACUUUUUUCUUCCUCAAGAAGAGGUUCGCACCCCCGGAAUAUACGAUAUGAUCUUAUCAAAGCUGGCAAAAACAAAGAUUUGCUGAUCAUCGCAGACUGUCGAAUCGACCAACAUUUUUAAUUUCUUCAUUUCUUUUUGACACUUCAUCAGUGUCUUUGAGAAUGCUUUCUAAAAAGGCCGUCGUUAGGUAACCGAGCUUGCAUAAAAAGCCACAAUGUAUAACGAAAAUUACACUCUUUUAUAUAUAGGACUAGGCCUUUCCACCGAAGGUCUCGGUAUUCGGUUACCUGUUUCACUAUGUAACGGUUGGCUUUAGUGUGUGAUAUGUUUCGUAAUAUCUCAGUUGCAUGUUAUAGUCACAUGUGCUGUUGAGUCCUGUUGUUUCAGUUAACGUCUUUCUAAUGGCAAUGUGUUUGUCUGUCAACAUGUAUUGUGACGUUCGUAUUGUUCUCUUAAUAACCUUCCGUCAAUGUUCACUUCACUUUAGAGUUAGUCUUGCUGUUGAACGAAUAAAGACAACAUCAGAAUAGAGUCUCUCUCGUGUUCUACUUAUUCGGGGCUUAGGCCCAUUGGCCUAGCCCCAUCGUAUCUUCACCAUCCUAAGAAGAACCCGACUAACAUAAAACGUUACAACUAUUCGGUUAGCUGAAGCACAAAGCGAAUAUUCGGUUACAAGCGAAUAGUUCGAAUAGUACAAUUAUUCGGUUGGAGACUAUGAGUGCGAAUAACCUAACUGAUAGAGGUAACAAUGGGUUACUGACUACUCGAGUAACGGAUCAUUCAUUGCUUUCGAUCAUUGAAUAGCAUCUGAUCGCAUAAACCAAUUCUACUUACGGCCUCGCUUUGGAAAUUUCUCCAAAUUUUAUUAUACGACUUUUUUAAGCUCAGAUUUGGUUUUAUCACAAUAGAUUUAGGCUGGAUACAAUUUUUUAUUGUGUUUGUACUUGCAAUUUAGAUUUUAUGGAGAAAUGAAGUUUGAAAACUUGCAAGGGAUUUGACCGCAUUCCGGGUGAAACUAUACCCCCUAGUAGCCAAUCACGUUCAAAUCUCUUAUAAAAUUUUUAUCUUUAUGUCGUCAUAAAAUCACUAUCGUGAGCAAUACCAUAAUGAAAAUUUGCAAGUAGACUAAAAUCAUUGCUCUUAAUCCGAAUCUGAGGUUAAAAAUUUUGUGCAAAAGAAAAUCGCCCAUUACUUUUUUUUAUAAGAACCAGUAAAUUUAAGUUCAGGCUGACUGUUGUCGAAAAUCUAAGGCUGGAUUGUUCUUAAUUUGUUCUUAAAUUAAGAGGGUUAAGCAGUGCUAUUGCUAGCUUUUCCGCUCUAAGGAAGUGUUCAGGCCUCAUUUGCCAACAAAGUGAGUGAGACAGCCUUAAUUUGCUGACAAAUUUGAAUAUUCACCUAAAAAGCACCCACACAUCGCUAAAAAUCCUCGAUUUUGAGAAAAACGUUGUUCAAAAUUGCAUUUUGCAGAAGCUCAGCCUCAGCAUGUUCUUAAUUUGUUCUUAACUUUUGACCAGUUUUGAGACUCGCGUUCUUAUAAAAUUGUUCUUAUAAAAAAGAGUGGCUGACUCUUGGCUUAUGAUGCUUCAAAAUCUUUACAACCCUACGAAGCAUCAUUAAAGUAACACGACAUAUAAUAAUCUUAAUUAGCGAUCAUUAUGCAGCAGAAAGAAAAAAUACGAUGUUGGAUUUCUCAUUGACUAUAAGUGAUAAAAAUUCUAUAAUAAAGAAAUAAAAAUUGAGCAUUGUUGAAUAGAGGCAGCAAACAUGGUUACAAUGUCGAUGUGAUGAUGGAGUUGGUAAAAAAGGCAUCGGCUGUGUAACUGUAUGUCUAAGUCAGGCACCAUUGAGAAAAGAGAGGGGUCUAAAAGAGGUGGGGAGGGGGGCUAAGACUGAAUAAAAAGAAAAUCGAUUGGUGGUUCAUUUCUUUAGUGUUUGUAUUUUCAGCAAUCAGUGGGGAGUCUAAACCCCUCAAAGGCCACCUUUCUUUGGGGUGCUUGUGACUUUCGUUGCUUUAAAACAGUUUUCAAUUCAAUUAAAGGGAGAGUUUUAACUUUAAUUGUGGAAUAGUUACUAUUGUCUGGCAAUGUUGACUGGUUAUGAUUUCUGACGAUUGCACAUGAUUUAUGAUAAUUUAUGAUGAUGAUUUAUGCUAAUUUUUGAUGAGUAUUGAUGAUAAUUUAUGAUGAUGAUUUAUGAAAAUUUAUGAUGAUGAUUUAUGAAAAUUUAUGAUGAUGAUUUAUGAAAAUUUAUGAUGUUGAUUUAUGAAAAUUUAUGAUGAUGGUUUAUGAAAAUUUAUGAUGAUGAUUUAUGAUUAUGAUUUGUGAUAAAUUAUGAUGAUGAUUUAUGAUAAUUUAUGAUCAUUGAUGAUGUUGUUGACUGGUUAUGAAUGGUUACAACUUUCAUUGGUGAUAAAUUAUGAUAUGGUUUAGGAUGAUCAAUUAUUAUUUAUGAUUUAAGAUAAUGAAUGAUUCACUGACUGAUGAUGAUUUUCAAUGAUUGAUUAUGAUAAUUAUGAUUGUUAUGAUUGAUGAUGAUUUGUGAUUGGUUGCAAUGAUAUACUGGCUGAUGUUAGUUGAUGUUCAUUAUGCUUAUUAAUGAUGAUGAUGAUGAUGAUGCUUAUUAAUUGUAACCAUAUAGAUUGAUGAUGGUGGUGAUAAUUGGAUGGUGCUAAUAAUGACAAUGUUUGUAAGCUGCAGCGUUUCCAACAAUAACUUGCGUCUAACAAAUGUAUACUAAAUCAAAAAACUUCAAAAAGUAGAAACAAAAUCUUGUUAGGGAACACAAGUUUGUCUUUAUCUGUUCCACUCCAGAAAACUGGAUUGACAUCAUGUUAAACAACACCAGGUUUUG